AGCUUUGUGCAGUGGCAGUAUUGUAGCCAAAGAGGUUUAUCUGAGGUGUGAUUAUUGCUAAUUGAAAACUUUUCCUCAUGAAUGAACUUCCAUUCGCAAUUGCUUCAAAGAGAAUAAAAUACUUAGGAAUCCAACUUACAAGGGA
rnacentral:snRNA from 1 species